AACAAACGCUGGCGGCGUGCCUAAUACAUGCAAGUCGAACGGGGAAAGCUUUCGGGCGAGUACUAGUGGCGCACGGGUGAGGAACACGUGGAUAAUCUGCCUUGGAGAGGGGGAUAACUAGUCGAAAGAUUAGCUAAUACCGCAUAAGACCACAGGAACUGAGGUUCUAGGGGUCAAAGGUUUUUCGCUCCAAGAUGAGUCCGCGUAAGAUUAGCUAGUUGGUGAGGUAAUGGCUCACCAAGGCGACGAUCUUUAACUGGUCUGAGAGGAUGAUCAGUCACACUGGAACUGAGACACGGUCCAGACUCCUACGGAAGGCAGCAGUAGGGAAUAUUGCACAAUGGAGGAAACUCUGAUGCAGCGACGCCGCGUGAGUGAUAAAGGCCUUCGGGUCGUAAAGCUCUGUCGCAGGGGAAUAAAAAAUGAAGGUACCCUGCAAGAAAGGAUCGGCUAACUUCGUGCCAGCAGCCGCCGUAA
rnacentral:rRNA from 1 species